rnacentral:rRNA from 1 species
AUUGAACGCUGGCGGCAGGCCUAACACAUGCAAGUCGAGCGGAUGAAGAGAGCUUGCUCUCUGAUUUAGCGGCGGACGGGUGAGUAAUGCCUAGGAAUCUGCCUGGUAGUGGGGGAUAACGUUCCGAAAGGAACGCUAAUACCGCAUACGUCCUACGGGAGAAAGCAGGGGACCUUCGGGCCUUGCGCUAUCAGAUGAGCCUAGGUCGGAUUAGCUAGUUGGUGAGGUAAUGGCUCACCAAGGCGACGAUCCGUAACUGGUCUGAGAGGAUGAUCAGUCACACUGGAACUGAGACACGGUCCAGACUCCUACGGGAGGCAGCAGUGGGGAAUAUUGGACAAUGGGCGAAAGCCUGAUCCGGCCAUGCCGCGUGUGUGAAGAAGGUCUUCGGAUUGUAAAGCACUUUAAGUUGGGAGGAAGGGCAUUAACCUAAUACGUUAGUGUUUUGACGUUACCAACAGAAUAAGCACCGGCUAACUUCGUGCCAGCCGCCGCUGUAAUAC